UGGGGAAUAUUGGACAAUGGGGGAAACCCUGAUCCAGCAAUGCCGCGUGUGUGAAGAAGGCCUGCGGGUUGUAAAGCACUUUCAGUAGGGAAGAUAAUGACGGUACCUACAGAAGAAGCACCGGCUAAAUCCGUGCCAGCAGCCGCGGUAAUACGGAUGGUGCGAGCGUUAAUCGGAAUUACUGGGCGUAAAGCGCGCGUAGGCGGUUUAGUAAGUCGGAUGUGAAAGCCCCGGGCUUAACCUGGGAAUUGCAUUCGAUACUGCUAGACUAGAGUAUGCUAGAGGAAAGUGGAAUUUCGGGUGUAGCGGUGAAAUGCGUAGAUAUCCGAAGGAACAUCAAUGGCGAAGGCAACUUUCUGGGGCAAUACUGACGCUGAGGUGCGAAAGCGUGGGUAGCAAACAGGAUUAGAUACCCCCGUAGUCC
rnacentral:rRNA from 1 species